AACGAACGCUGGCGGCAGGCCUAACACAUGCAAGUCGAACGCUCCGCAAGGAGAGUGGCAGACGGGUGAGUAACGCGUGGGAAUUUCCCCCAAGGUUCGGAAUAACUGAGGGAAACUUCAGCUAAUACCGAAUGGUACCUGGCGGUUAAAGAUUUAUCGCCUUGGGAUGAGCCCGCGUUGGAUUAGCUAGUUGGUGAGGUAACGGCUCACCAAGGCUCUGAUCCAUAGCUGGUCUGAGAGGACGACCAGCCACACAGGGACUGAGACACGGCCCAGACUCCUACGGGAGGCAGCAGUGGGGAAUCUUGGACAAUGGGCGCAAGCCUGGUCCAGCCAUGCCGCGUGGGCGAUGAAGGUCUUCGGAUUGUAAAGCCCUUUUGGCGGGGACGAUAAUGACGGUACCCGCAGAAUAAGCUCCGGCUAACUUCGUGCCAGCAGCCGCGGUAAUACGAAGGGGGCUAGCGUUGUUCGGAAUUACUGGGCGUAAAGCGUGCGCAGGCGGCUUUUC
rnacentral:rRNA from 1 species